rnacentral:misc_RNA from 1 species
GAUGAAGAACGUAGCGAAAUGCGAUAAGUAAUGUGAAUUGCAGAAUUCAGUGAAUCAUCGAGUUUUUGAACGCAUAUUGCGCCCUCUGGUAUUCCGGGGGGCAUGCCUGUUCGAGCGUCAUUACAACCCUCAAGCUCAGCUUGGUGUUGGGCCCCGCCGCCCCGGCGGGCCCUAAAGUCAGUGGCGGUGCCGUCCGGCUCCGAGCGUAGUAAUUCUUCUCGCUCUGGAGGUCCGGUCGUGUGCUCGCCAGCAACCCCCAAUUUUUUUCAGGUUGACCUCGGAUCAGGUAGGGAUACCCGCUGAACUUAAGCAUAUCAAUAAGCGGAGGA